rnacentral:snRNA from 1 species
AGCUUUGCGUAGAGGCGAUAAAGUGAUUAAAGAGGCUCUGCCGAAGUGCGUUUCUUGUUGGUUGAAAACCUUUCUUUUUAACUCCACAAACCUAACUGUAGCCUUAUCUUUCUGGGU